ensembl:scaRNA
CGCCUUUCUCCCUUGGGCUGUGGGUGGGAGGUUGGCGGGGGGCGGUCCCUGUUCUUCUCAGCUAAGGCUGGAGGCCAAGAUCAGCCCUUGAGGACUGUCAUCAGAACUGCCUUGUUUUCCUGCCUCAGACGUGA